rnacentral:rRNA from 1 species
AUUGAACGCUGGCGGAAUGCUUUACACAUGCAAGUCGAACGGUAGAGGGGGCAACCCCUCGAGAGUGGCGAACGGGUGAGUAAUAUAUCGGAACGUGCCCAGUCGUGGGGGAUAACGUAGCGAAAGUUACGAUAAUACCGCAUACGAUCUAAGGAUGAAAGCGGGGGAUCGCAAUACCUCGCGCGAUUGGAGCGGCCGAUGUCAGAUUAGGUAGUUGGUGGGGUAAAGGCUCACCAAGCCAACGAUCUGUAGCUGGUCUGAGAGGACGACCGGCCACACUGGAACUGAGACACGGUCCAGACUCCUACGGGAGGCAGCAGUGGGGAAUUUUGGACAAUGGACGCAAGUCUGAUCCAGCCAUUCCGCGUGCAGGAUGAAGGCCCUCGGGUUGUAAACUGCUUUUGUACGGAACGAAAAGGUCUCUCUUAAUACGGGGGGCUCAUGACGGUACCAUAAGAAUAAGCACCGGCUAACUACGUGCCAGCCGCCGCCGUAA